rnacentral:rRNA from 1 species
GUAGUCCACGCCGUAAACGUUGGGCGCUAGGUGUGGGGGCCAUUCCACGGUCUCCGUGCCGCAGCUAACGCAUUAAGCGCCCCGCCUGGGGAGUACGGCCGCAAGGCUAAAACUCAAAGGAAUUGACGGGGGCCCGCACAAGCGGCGGAGCAUGUUGCUUAAUUCGAUGCAACGCGAAGAACCUUACCUAGGCUUGACAUGCACGGAAAUCUCGUAGAGAUACGGGGUGCCUUUGGCGUCGUGCACAGGUGGUGCAUGGUUGUCGUCAGCUCGUGUCGUGAGAUGUUGGGUUAAGUCCCGCAACGAGCGCAACCCUCGUCCUAUGUUGCCAGCACGUGAUGGUGGGGACU